AGUGAACGCUGGCGGUAGGCCUAACACAUGCAAGUCGAACGGCAGCACAGUAAGAGCUUGCUCUUACGGGUGGCGAGUGGCGGACGGGUGAGGAAUACAUCGGAAUCUACUUUUUCGUGGGGGAUAACGUAGGGAAACUUACGCUAAUACCGCAUGCGACCUACGGGUGAAAGCAGGGGAUCUUUGGACCUUGCGCGAUUGAAUGAGCCGAUGUCGGAUUAGCUAGUUGGCGGGGUAAAGGCCCACCAAGGCGACGAUCCGUAGCUGGUCUGAGAGGAUGAUCAGCCACACUGGAACUGAGACACGGUCCAGACUCCCACGGGAGGCAGCAGUGGGGAAUAUUGGACAAUGGGCGCAAGCCUGAUCCAGCCAUACCGCGUGGGUGAAGAAGGCCUUCGGGUUGUAAAGCCCUUUUGUUGGGAAAGAAAAGCAGCAGGUUAAUACCCCGCUGUUCUGACGGUACCCAAAGAAUAAGCACCGGCUAACUUCGUG
rnacentral:rRNA from 1 species